UGGGGAAUAUUGCACAAUGGGCGAAAGCCUGAUGCAGCAACGCCGCGUGAGUGAUGAAGGCCUUCGGGUUGUAAAGCUCUGUCUUUUGGGACGAUAAUGACGGUACCAAAGGAGGAAGCCACGGCUAACUACGUGCCAGCAGCCGCGGUAAUACGUAGGUGGCAAGCGUUGUCCGGAUUUACUGGGCGUAAAGGAUGCGUAGGCGGAUUUUUAAGUGAGAUGUGAAAUACCCGGGCUUAACUUGGGUGCUGCAUUUCAAACUGGGAAUCUAGAGUGCGGGAGAGGAGAAUGGAAUUCCUAGUGUAGCGGUGAAAGUGCGUAGAGAUUAGGAAGAACACCAGUGGCGAAGGCGAUUUUCUGGACCGUAACUGACGCUGAGGCAUGAAAGCGUGGGUAGCAAACAGGAUUAGAUACCCUGGUAGUCCACGCCGUAAACGAUGAGUACUAGGUGUAGGAGGUAUCGACCCCUUCUGUGCCGCAGUUAACACAAUAAGUACUCCGCCUGGGAAGUACGAUCGCAAGAUUAAA
rnacentral:rRNA from 1 species